rnacentral:tRNA from 1 species
GAUGCGGUACUCAAGAGGUUAAGAGGACAGUCUGCAAAACUGUUAUUCCGCCGGUUCGAAUCCGGUUGGCAUUACCA